CAUCAACCUCUUUGUCAUGGCUGUCUUUGGGCAGGCCUUCUACCAGAAAACCAACCAGGCUGCGUUCAACAUCUGUGCCAACAGCAGCCUCCACGACUACGCCAAGAUCUUCCCCAUGAACAACGCCACCGUGGCUGUGGACAUUUACCAGGGGGGCGUGAUCCUGGGCUGCCUGUUCGGCCCCGCGGCCCUCUACAUCUGGGCCAUAGGUCUCCUGGCGGCUGGGCAGAGCUCCACCAUGACGGGCACCUACGCGGGACAGUUCGUGAUGGAGGUAGGGUAGGGGGCGGGCCCAGGAGGGCAAGGGGUCCAAGGACAGCAGGCACACUACUGGGGGCUAGAACUCCAAGCCUUGUGGGUCCUCUUUUCUUUACUUUCUUUUCUUCCUUUUUUUUUGUUUUUGUUUUUGUUGUUGUUGAGACGGAGUCUUGCUCUUGUCGCCCAGGCUGGAGUGCAGUGGCGCGAUCUCGGCUCACUGCAACCUCCCCCUCCCAGGUUCAAGCUUCUCCUGCUUCAGCCUCCUCAGUAGCUGGGAUUUCAGGCACCU
rnacentral:sRNA from 1 species